AUUGAACGCUGGCGGCAGGCCUAACACAUGCAAGUCGAACGAGUGGCGGACGGGUGAGUAAUGUCUGGGAAACUGCCCGAUGGAGGGGGAUAACUACUGGAAACGGUAGCUAAUACCGCAUACCAUCGGAUGUGCCCAGAUGGGAUUAGCUAGUAGGGUGAGUAACGGCUCACCUAGGCGACGAUCCCUAGCUGGUCUGAGAGGAUGACCAGUCACACGUGAACUGAGACACGGUCCAGACUCCUACGGGAGGCAGCAGUGGGGAAUAUUGCACAAUGGGCGCAAUCCUGAUGCAGCCAUGCCGCGUGUAUGAAGAAGGCCUUCGGGGUGUAAAGUACUUUCAGCGAGGAGGCGUUACCCGCAGAAGAAGCACCGGCUAACUCCGUGCCAGCAGCCGCGGUAAUUC
rnacentral:rRNA from 1 species